AGUGAACGCUGGCGGUAGGCCUAACACAUGCAAGUCGAACGGCAGCACAGUAAGAGCUUGCUCUUACGGGUGGCGAGUGGCGGACGGGUGAGGAAUACAUCGGAAUCUACUUUUUCGUGGGGGAUAACGUAGGGAAACUUACGCUAAUACCGCAUACGACCUACGGGUGGAAGCAGGGGAUCUUCGGACCUUGCGCGAUUGAAUGAGCCGAUGUCGGAUUAGCUAGUUGGCGGGGUAAAGGCCCACCAAGGCGACGAUCCGUAGCUGGUCUGAGAGGAUGAUCAGCCACACUGGAACUGAGAUACGGUCCAGACUCCUACGGGAGGCAGCAGUGGGGAAUAUUGGACAAUGGGCGCAAGCCUGAUCCAGCCAUACCGCGUGGGUGAAGAAGGCCUUCGGGUUGUAAAGCCCUUUUGUUGGGAAAGAAAAGCAGCAGGUUAAUACCCCGCUGUUCUGACGGUACCCAAAGAAUAAGCACCGGCUAACUUCGUG
rnacentral:rRNA from 1 species